GUCGAUGUCGAUUAAGAUGUUGAAACUUUAUUUGAUGUAACUUUAUUUUCGAAACAUUUACAUAUUUCUCAGCUACAUGCACUAUAAUUAUGAAAAUACGAGUUGAUCACAUUUUUCGAACAAACUGACUUCUGAGUAACGGGCAAACCACAGAAUAAACAUGUUAAAUAAGAAUUGAAAAUUAUAUUAUACGAGUUUCUUAUACUAUGUUUCUA
rnacentral:lncRNA from 1 species